AUUGAACGCUGGCGGCAGGCCUAACACAUGCAAGUCGAGCGGAUGAAGGGAGCUUGCUCCUGGAUUCAGCGGCGGACGGGUGAGUAAUGCCUAGGAAUCUGCCUGGUAGUGGGGGAUAACGUCCGGAAACGGGCGCUAAUACCGCAUACGUCCUGAGGGAGAAAGUGGGGGAUCUUCGGACCUCACGCUAUCAGAUGAGCCUAGGUCGGAUUAGCUAGUUGGUGGGGUAAAGGCCUGCCAAGGCGACGAUCUGUAACUGGUCUGAGAGGAUGAUCAGUCACACUGGAACUGAGACACGGUCCAGACUCCUACGGGAGGCAGCAGUGGGGAAUAUUGGACAAUGGGCGAAAGCCUGAUCCAGCCAUGCCGCGUGUGUGAAGAAGGUCUUCGGAUUGUAAAGCACUUUAAGUUGGGAGGAAGGGCAGUAAGUUAAUACCUUGCUGUUUUGACGUUACCAACAGAAUAAGCACCGGCUAACUUCGUG
rnacentral:rRNA from 1 species